CCAUCAGGUGGCCGCAGAGAAUAGGCCCAAGCGACUGUUUACCAAAAACAUAGGUUUCUGCGAAGUCGCAAGACGAUGUAUAGGAGCUGACGCCUGCCCGGUGCUGGAGGGUUAAGGGGAUCUGUUAGCGCAAUCGAAGCAGUGCACUUAAGCCCCAGUAAACGGCGGCCGUCACUAUAACGUUCCUAAGGUAGCGAAAUUCCUUGUCGGGUAAGUUCCGACCCGCACGAAAGGCG
rnacentral:rRNA from 1 species